AUACGUAGGGGGCGAGCGUUGUCCGGAAUGAUUGGGCGUAAAGGGCGCGUAGGCGGCCCGGUAAGUCUGGAGUGAAAGUCCUGUUUUUAAGAUGGGAAUUGCUUUGGAUACUGUCGGGCUUGAGUGCAGGAGAGGUAAGUGGAAUUCCCAGUGUAGCGGUGAAAUGCGUAAAGAUUGGGAGGAACACCAGUGGCGAAGGCGACUUACUGGACUGUAACUGACACUGAGGCACGAAAGCGUGGGGAGCAAACAGGAUUAGAUACCCUGGUAGUCCACGCUGUAAACGAUGAAUACUAGGUGUAGGGGGUAUCAACUCCCUCUGUGCCGCAGUUAACACAAUAAGUAUUCCGCCUGGGGAGUACGGCCGCAAGGUUGAAACUCAAAUGAAUUGGCGGUG
rnacentral:rRNA from 1 species